AGGCAUCCAAUUUACCUAUCCUGCACCCACCCAACAGAGAAUCAAAAGCUCAAAAAGUAAAAUCCUCUUCUUCUUCGAAAUUGACCAGAGCCAUUUCAUUCACAGCAGACCCACUCAUCUUCGUUUGGUUUCUUUCGUCUUCCACCCUUCAAUUCGUCCCCCUUCGUCUUCCACCUUGAGCUUACCCAGCGAAUGUCGAGCCGCGGCAAACUGAUUUGAGGAGCCCCAUCGACGGACUAAUUUUGCGACCCCCAUCGACAGACUAUUUCGCGACCCCCAUAUUUUGUAGGAAAAGUUAAUCGUGCUAGGACAAUGAUGGAAUUUAUGAGGAAAAAUGGAUGCAAUCCUAAUGUAUUCAAUUACUCAACCUUGAUGAAUGGAUUUUGUAAGGAGAAAAAAUUGCUAGAGGCCAAAGAAGUUUUUGAUGAGAUGAAGAGCUUCCGUCUGAAGCUGGAUACAAUUAGCUACUCGACUUUAAUUAAUUGCUUCUGUAGGGCUGGAAAAAUCGAUGAAGCUACAAAGUUGCUCAAAGAGAUGAAAGAAAAAAGAAUGCAAAGUUGAUAUCAUGACCUUCAAUGUGAUACUUGGAGGGCUGUGCAGAAAAGAUAGUUUUGAGACGGCUCUUGACAUGCUUGAGAAACUUCCCUUCGAUGGUGUUUAUCUAAACAAAGCUAGUUAUAGGAUUGUGUUGAAUUGAUGGAGAUGGGUUUUAAACCAGAGCUUGACUCGUGGGCUCAUGUGCUAGAAUUGAUUUGCAAAGAAAGAAAGUUGAUAUUUACAUUUGAACUGCUCGAUGAAUUGACUGUCAGAGAGCUUUGAUUCCACAACUAUCUUGUCAACUGAAUACAUGGGUUUUCGAAGCAAAAAAAAAAGAACAAUAUAUCCUUGAUUUUGACCAAAUUGAAUCAAUGAUAGAUUAGAAAUUAUCAUGUACCAUGGGGUGGUAGGUUUUCUAAAAUUCUAAAUAGUUGUGUAAGCAACGAGAUACUUGUAAAAAACAAACUAUGUAAGCAAUGAGAGAAGCUUGCAGUUUUUGUGUUUC